CUGGCCGUGGCUGUCACUCCCGGGCCAUUUCCCCGAGGCCAGCGCUCUGCUGGGGGCGGGAGGAAGAGGGGCCGGACUGGGGCCUGACGAGCGGUCGCUGUCUUCACGGAUGCUAUGACCAGCGGGCGAGGCGCCCUCCGCAGCUCCGCGCAGUGUUAGUCGCGGCCGUGAGUCCACUGAAGCCGUCUGGGUCUCCAGUGCGGCCGCUUCCGCGGGCCCCUCGGCUCUCCUAGCGCUGCCCGCAAGGCGAGGCGGAGGUAGGAUGAAGAUGACGGUGGAUUUCGAGGAGUGUCUGAAGGACUCGCCCCGCUUCAGGGCUGCUUUGGAAGAAGUAGAAGGAGAUGUGGCAGAAUUGGAACUAAAACUCGAUAAGCUUGUGAAGCUUUGUAUUGCCAUGAUUGAUACUGGAAAAGCCUUUUGUGUUGCAAAUAAACAGUUCAUGAAUGGGAUUAGAGACCUAGCACAGUAUUCUAGUAAUGAUGCUGUAGUUGAGACAAGUUUGACCAAAUUUUCUGACAGUCUUCAAGAAAUGAUAAAUUUUCACACAAUCCUGUUUGACCAAACUCAGAGAUCAAUUAAAGCACAACUUCAGAACUUUGUUAAAGAAGAUCUUAGAAAAUUCAAAGAUGCCAAGAAGCAGUUUGAAAAAGUCAGUGAAGAGAAAGAAAAUGCAUUAGUAAAAAAUGCCCAAGUACAAAGAAAUAAGCAGCAUGAAGUUGAGGAAGCCACAAACAUUCUGACAGCCACAAGAAAGUGUUUUCGACACAUAGCCCUCGACUAUGUGCUUCAGAUUAAUGUCCUUCAAUCAAAAAGGAGAUCAGAAAUCCUAAAAUCAAUGUUAUCCUUUAUGUAUGCCCAUUUGGCCUUCUUUCAUCAAGGAUAUGAUCUAUUUAGUGAACUUGGGCCCUACAUGAAAGAUCUUGGAGCACAGUUAGAUCGACUUGUUGUGGAUGCAGCAAAAGAGAAAAGAGAAAUGGAGCAAAAACAUUCCACCAUUCAACAAAAGGAUUUCUCCAGUGAUGAUUCCAAGUUAGAAUACAACGUAGAUGCUGCAAAUGGCAUUGUUAUGGAAGGAUACCUGUUCAAACGAGCCAGCAACGCCUUCAAAACUUGGAACAGGAAAAAGCCCGAUCAUAUCAGACGCUGGUUUUCAAUACAGAAUAAUCAACUGGUUUACCAGAAAAAGUUUAAGGAUAACCCCACGGUAGUAGUUGAAGAUCUCAGGCUUUGCACAGUAAAGCAUUGUGAAGACAUAGAAAGACGGUUCUGCUUUGAGGUAGUCUCUCCAACAAAGAGUUGUAUGCUCCAGGCAGAUUCUGAAAAGCUGCGCCAGGCAUGGAUUAAGGCUGUUCAGACCAGUAUUGCAACUGCUUAUAGAGAAAAGGGUGAUGAAUCAGAGAAGCUGGAUAAGAAAUCAUCUCCAUCAACAGGAAGCCUAGAUUCUGGAAAUGAGUCAAAAGAGAAAUUAUUGAAAGGAGAAAGUGCACUGCAGCGGGUCCAGUGUAUCCCUGGAAAUGCCAGCUGUUGUGACUGUGGUCUGGCAGAUCCACGGUGGGCCAGCAUCAACUUGGGCAUCACCUUGUGUAUCGAGUGCUCUGGAAUUCAUCGGAGUCUUGGGGUUCAUUUUUCAAAAGUACGAUCUUUAACUUUAGAUACCUGGGAGCCUGAACUUUUAAAGCUUAUGUGUGAAUUGGGGAAUGAUGUUAUAAAUCGUGUUUAUGAAGCUAAUGUGGAAAAAAUGGGAAUAAAGAAACCACAACCAGGACAAAGACAGGAGAAAGAGGCAUAUAUCAGAGCAAAGUAUGUGGAAAGGAAAUUUGUGGAUAAAUAUUCUAUAUCAUCAUCACCUCCUGAGCAGGAAAAAAAGAUUGUCUCCAAAGGUUGUGAAGAAAAGAGGCUGAGCAUUUCUAAACUUGGGCCUGCUGACCAAGUCAGAGCAUCUACCCAAAGUUCAGUGGUUGCUGUAAAUAGCGACGAGGCCAGGCGGGAGUCUCUGUUCUGUCCUGAUGAGCUAGAUUCACUCUUCUCCUACUUUGAUACUUCUUCAAAACUGCGUAGUAUCAAAAGUAAUGACAGUGGGAUCCAGCAGAGCUCUGAUGAUGGGAGAGAAUCUCUGCCCUCCAUGGUGUCAGCCAGUAGUUUAUAUGAGCCUGAAGGAGAAAGGCAAGAUUCUUCCGUGUUUCUCGACUCUAAACAUCUUAAUCCAGGACUUCAGCUUUACAGGGCUUCAUAUGAAAAAAACCUUCCUAAAAUGGCUGAGGCUUUGGCUCAUGGUGCCGAUGUGAAUUGGGCUAACUCAGAGGAAAACAAAGCAACACCACUUAUUCAGGCUGUAUUAGGGGGCUCUUUGGUGACAUGUGAGUUCCUCCUACAGAAUGGUGCUAAUGUGAACCAAAGAGAUGUCCAAGGGCGGGGACCACUACACCAUGCCACUGUCUUAGGGCACACAGGGCAGGUAUGUUUAUUCCUAAAGCGAGGUGCCAAUCAGCAUGCCACUGAUGAAGAAGGGAAAGACCCUUUGAGCAUAGCUGUGGAUGCGGCCAAUGCUGAUAUAGUAACUUUGUUACGUUUAGCAAGAAUGAACGAAGAAAUGCGGGAAUCAGAAGGACUUUAUGGACAGCCAGGUCAAUAUUCCACUAAUAACCAUACUGAAAUGCAGUAUAAGAAAUGCAUUCAGGAAUUUAUCAGUUUACAAUUGGAAGAUUCAUAGUUCAUAGUUCUUUAAUGUGAUACUAUAGAAUUUUUAUAACCUACUUGUAAAUUUUGAGUUGUUAGCUAUAUCUGUACCUUCUGAAUUCUUGGGAGGCUGAUCCUAGCCCCUUGCGAAUCCACAGCUAUCUCUAUUACAGUGCACAUUUGCUGUGUUUCACUUUGGCUGCUGACUUCCUCAUCUGCUGUACAGAUGUCUUCCACAUACAUUCCAGUGACCUGAAUGGAAUGAUGAAAAUACUUUCUAUAUACUUACAGCAGCAAAUUAGUUGAUUUCUUUUUGGAAUUUUUUUUUUUUUUUAGUGAAUAUAACAAAGUUGCUUUCUUUUUGUUAUUCAGGGAAUUUCUAUACAUUGUGUUCAGGGAAAAAAAAAGAAAGACAACAAAUCACCAUACGUCUGCAUACAAAAUAUCAGUAUGGAAAAUAACAAGGAAAGGUUUAUCAAAAAGUUUUCUAUUCCAAUAUAAAGAUGAGUUGAAGAUUUAAAGUAACAAUGUACCAGUAGGUUAAAAGUCUAUAAUGGGAGUGGAGUUAUUUAAAAUGUUGAAAAAUAAGGUCUCAUUUAUAUCUUUAGCUUUGCCCCAAGUAAUUGUAAAAUAUCUGUUGGAUAAGUGGAAGUUUUUAGAACAGCAUUUUGUAAACCCAAUGACAAAGUAGACAUUAGAGAAAUUUCAACUCAUGAUCACCUAAAACUUUGUUCUGAGUAAUUUUCAGCAAAGUUGAGAUGUCAUGGAAAGGAGGGCGUUGCUGAUCAUAUUCCUCUUUUAUGAACACGUGCUGAUUAGACGUUCUUCACAAAGAAAAGAAUAUUUAUUGAAUCUUUAGUUUCAAAUUCAUAUACAUAUUAGUAAAAAAUUCAUGAAUUUAUGACUAAAAUACUUUAGAAUGUUCAGUUUAUAAUUAGUAUAUUUUUGAUUUUUAAAAAUAUGAAUAUUGGUUAACUUCAUUUUUAAAGUGACCUGGUAAUAUCAUUUCCUCUUUCUGUUGAAGAAGUGUUUUAAGAUUUCUGUACUAGCUUCAUCCAUUUGCUUUAUUUUAACUAGAUCCAUAUAUAAUGUAUCAGUGGGCCAUUCUUUUCUCAGAGGACUGUCUGUUUAUUGCUUAUUUUUGGCCUGAUUUAAUGGGGAAUAAGUAAGGACUUUGAGAAUAGAGGCAUUUCAGCUAGAUACUUGUAAUCUAGGGCGUCCAAUUCUAAUCCUAUGGAUCAUAUGUACUAUUUGCUCAUGAUAUUCCAGGAUGUAAGAAUGCUGAUUUGGGUGAAGCUCUAGUGUUAAUUCUGGAUUUCACCCAUUUGUUUUAAACUUGAAUGUUGGACUUUAAAUAAGUUAUAAUUUUGUAACAGAUAUACUUAAGUGAUAGUAUUAAUAGGCCAUUUUUGAGGCCUUUGUGUUUAAGCACUUUAAAAUAAAAAUUAAUCAAAGGAUAUGAUCUGAUAUUUGUGAGAUAACAGUGAACUUCAAGAUUUUAAGUUAAACAAUUUUUUUUUCCUGAAAUUUUAAACUUUAAUGUUUGGUCAGUUGCUCUUUCCUUAAGGUGUUUGCUGAUGAAGUUUUCCCAAUUGAUUAGUCAGAAGGUCAGUGGAUGACUCUUCUCUGGAGUUGUAAGCUUGAAAAGACAGAACCUUCAAGUUCUUGCUACUAUUUCUAGUUCUACCCAAAUAGCUUGGGUGGCUAUUUCCAUCAUUUGGGAGCAUUCUAGUAUCUCUUUCACUGUCCCUUAUGUAUAAAUUUAUAUAUAAGUAUGUUAACUUCCCUUCAUCAGUAAAAAAAUUAUUUUUUCCAAUUUAUUUUAAUGAAAAUUUGAAAAAAAAGGCUGAUUUUAAAACAAGCUUUUCUAUUAUUCCCAAAUUUUAGAAGUUAAAAAAUAGGUCAUGAUUCUGGAAAUAGUGUGAAUAGUAUAAAAGUUAUAACUUUUAUUCUGGAAAUAGUGUGAAUCAGAAUAAAAUGAGACUUUUUUUGGAUUGAGGAUCAUCUCGACAAUACUGAGAUUUUUUAACACAUUUGCAAGGCCUAUUAUUUAAAGCAGAAAAAAAAUUAUGCUUAUACAGGUGACAGUGAAAUGGCACAGCAGUUGCUCUCUGGUAACUUUUCUUUUCCAUUAUUAGUUGUAGAGAGAGAUAUUUGGCUCUAGCAUCAGCUCUUUGGUUUUCUUGUUCUUAUCACUAUAAUUUUUUUUUUUUUUCUAAAGAGACUGGUUGAUUGCUUUAUUUGGAUUCUUUUUUCUUUUUUUUUUGGAUUGUCUUAGUAAUAUAAACUACAGGUACAGGAAUUUUCAGUUUUGAUAAUGAAGAUUUCUGCCAUUUAAAAGACUCAGAUACAAUGUUUGGCAAUCAUGGACCUAUUUCUAGGAAAUCCCAUUUGUGAACUUUUUAUUUACAAGCCUGAGGACCUGGGACUCCCUACUUUUGCAGGGCACUGUUAAAAGCGCUCUGUUACUGAAGGGAGAAUUUGUUCUUUAGCAGUCUCCAGAACUCUUAGGAGGCCUGAGGAGGUGAGGGAUAUGGCAUACCCAGCUUUCUGUUGUUGGAAAUCAGUUUGGUGGUUCCCAGUUUCUGGCCCUGUGACUCCUCUUGAUUGUUGGCAAGUUCUUAGCCAGUUGAGAGUAACUGCUUUAGGGAACAACUGUUGGUUAUAAGAGUACUAGCCAGCAGAGUUUGGGAACCACUGAUCAAAUCAGUUGCAGAAAGAAACUGUUGCUAGCCCAGAAAAGACAGGAUCAUGGGGGUGGGUCUCCACAUGCUGCUGUCCUUUUGAGGGAGUUCAUAUUAUGAGAAAGUCCUGGUGUCUUGAAUCAUCAUAACUGCUGUUGUGAUGGAUAUUUUGAAUACCAAAAAUUAAAAAUGGAUUUAAACUAUCAGUGGAAACACAUGAGUCUACAUUAGAAAAACUCAGACCUGCCGGUCCAGACAUAGAAAAGCUAAUUGUCUGAAAGGAAAAAAAAAUGUGGGUAAGUAAUUUAAAGAAUAUUCUUAGCUUAGCAUUACAAAUAUUGGGUGAUCGGUUGCUCAUCAUUUGUAAUAAAUUAUCAAACAUACUUCUGGGAACAUUCCAGGGCAGGAUAUUCUGAGUUUUGUUUAUAUGUUCUAGUGUAUACAAAUUAUAUUUGCCUUGGGAAAAAUUCCAAGUACUUAAAAUUAUGUUUAAACUUUGAAUAAUCACACUGAAGUUCAAUUUGUGUUAGCUAUAUUAAAUAUCUUAGUCACUUGUUCUUGUAACAUUUGCUUUUGACAACACAUUUUGAGGUCUAAGAAAGAUAGUAUAUUAACAGUGCAUUAAUUAAUGUUUUGUUAGAAACUAAAUGUUAGCAAAUUUUUUUUGUGUGAAAAUGGAACCUUCUUUUGUAUUGUAUUAACUCUUUUAAACGUAUUCAGUCAGUGAAACCAAUGAUUAAUAAUAUAGCACCAACAUUUUUCUUCAAGGAAUCAUUUAAUUCAGUGAAUGAAAGGUCUUAUAAUUUGUUUUGCAUGGUACAAUGGUUCUACUAAAAUGUACUUGUGUAAUAGGUACUAGAUGAUUUAAAAUCAAAACUAGAAAACUGUAAAAAAAAAAAACUUACAGCUUGUUAUACAAAAUAUGCAUUGCUAAUUGUAGAAGCCAUAUAUUGCCAUUGUACUGUUGUAAUACUUAAGAUUGCUCAUCUGGUGCUAUUUGUAAACUAUUUGGCAUUAGCAUCUGCUAGGUCUUCUUCCUAUUUCUUGAAUGUAUAAUGUGUGCCUUUUAAGUUACUUCUGGUGUUGAAUGGUAAAAUCAGUGUGGUAUUUUUGUAUUAUAAUCUGCACUUUACACUUUCUUGGAAAGUAAAAUUCUAGACUAUCUAAUUUAAAUAGUAUUUUAAAAAUAUUUAUAAUGUUUACAAUAAAUAUUUUACAUAUUUUAAUUCAACAUCUAAAAAUAGGAAAAAUUUUGAAAUAUUUUGUAUGAUUUGUUAAUUGCUAUUUAAAGUUGCUCUCUUCUCAGUUUAUAUCUUUUAGAAUGGUUAAGAAUGGGAAUAGAUUGUAGUUUGUCUUUUAAUGUGGAAGUAAAUUUUUAAGUAAUCAAGUGUAUAAUUGGAUUGUUUUACCAGUUCCAAUAUAUCAACCUUUAGUUUUUAUUAACAAUAACAUGGGUUCCAUGUUACUCUCAGCCAACCCAUUACAAUUAUCUUGUCUCCUCACCCAUUUUCUUUUUAAAGUAGAUUGAUUAGGUUUAACUGAUUGUUUCAAAUUAUGAUUAAAUUUCCAGGGUUAAAUAAAAACUAUAUAUAGAUUUUAUUAAAUUUCUUUUUACACAGACUAAAUAUUGAAAGGAACUAAAUAUUAAAAGUAUUAAAUUUUUUUAUUGAAAAUUCUGGGUUAUGUCAUUAGGUCUUUUUACUAGCUCUUUAUCCUCUUUCCCCAACAUUUUUCUAAUUCUCUAGCUUUUGGUGUGACAUCUAUUGCUUCACCAAUCUCGCAUUUUAAAAUUGACAAAAAUUAAUAGCACUAUUAAUAACUGUAGCAAUGUGUUUGUUAUAAGAUGGAUGCAAGUUAUCUUAUGGGAAUGAUUACAAAAUCCUGUUGCAGAACUAAUCAUCUAAAACAAUAUUUUAUGCUCAAAAUCCUGAGAACAAUUAUGCCAUGUAUCUGUCUAAGGCUAAUGUUUUGCAAGAAGCAUUCUUGAUGAAUGUUUUAUCUUGAAAACAUCCUUCAUCUGAGGGAUUAAUUUGUAUGUGUCUAUAGUUCUGUAAUGUCAGUAUUUAUAAUUUCUAUUUCUACAAGAAUAUUUGAAUACUCAUACACUUAUUUCUUUAAUUUAACAGAUGUCUUUAGUAUUCAUUCUCAUUUUUGUCAUAGCAUUCUUGCUUAUAUGACCCACAGUGAACAAAAAACUUCAGACAAUGUGAAACUAUGAUUAUAUAGUUCUUUUCUAGGCCUAUUAUAAGCUUAGUAAGUAGUGGAUUAGAUGUAUUAAGUUAAGCAUUGAAGUUUGAGUGAAGAAUUACAUGUAAAUUUACUUUAAAUUUAUUCUAAUUAAAAGAUAAUAAUUCCCCCCCCACCUGAUUAUCAGUUUGUCUUGUUAAUAACUUGCAUCCAUCAGAAACAUUAAUAUUUGGUUUUGAUCAUUUCUUUUGGCCUUUACCAAAGGAAAUAUUUAUUUCUUCAUUAGAAUGAUCUUUAUUUCUCAUGUGUUAAUAAAUGUGUUUCUUUACAUUGCUUUAAAACACUUGCAUCUAUGCUCUUUUCUAACUUUGAGCUUUCCUCUGGCUGCAUCUGAGGUGCUUGUUUCAGGUGAUGAAACUUACCAGGACAUUUUUCGUGAUUUUUCACAAAUGGCAUCCAAUAAUCCAGAGAAACUCAAUCGUUUCCAGCAAGAUUCACAGAAAUUCUGAAUUUUUUUAAUAAGGAGAAAAAUACAAAAUCUGGCAACUUUCUAAUAUGUACAGCUAAAAACUCACAACUUUUUACUGCUUUAAUUCUUCCUAAUUUUGGUAGAUAUUGAAUGGUUUGGAAAAAAAUUACCAUUCAUUCAUAUUUUUACAAAUUAAAACAUAGAUCUCUCAUAGUUGGGAGAAGAAUCUACUUUAGGACCUCCUUUAUUAAGAAAAAAAGCCUGGUGAAAGGGCUAUUUUUUUAUAGAUAAAAGUUUAAUUUAGGUUUAGGUCAUCUCCAGGUUACAAGAUGCUAAGAUGUUAGGGAAAAAAAUCUUUUUUUUUUUUUUUGUUGGUCAAUUGGUGGUAGCAUUGAGAUAGAUACAUACAUACAUACAUACAUAUAUAUGUUUUUUUCCCCAUGCAUCAUGCCCAGGAUUAUUCAGUCAAGCAUGUCUGCAUCAAGUGGAGCCAAUUAUCCUGCCUGCCUCAAGAAUAUGCCUUGUCUUUAGAUUCCCUGAUGAUUUUUGGUGGUUCAGAAUUAGGUAUGAGUGUGGGUGAGUGGGUGGGUUUGGUAGCCUAGUUACCAUUCAUACAUCAUAUGGUUUAGUUACCAGAACUAGAGUAUAGGCUUCUUAAAUGCCACUGUGGUUCUUAGGUGAUGGGUUAUUGUCCAGUAUUUUAACAUCCGUAAUGCCUGUACAAGUAGACCAUAGUUUAGUCAUUUAGAUUUAUUCCAUCGUCUGAGGCAAAGAAGCUCUUACUAUUUUUUUCAACUCUCCCUCCUGCUGAAAAGUUACAGCUCUUCAUUGUUGGGUGAUGUCUUAAGACCUUGACAAAUUUAUCAAUGUAAUAAAACUGUUUCAAAGGUUACUUGAUUGUUGCAAAAUUAUGCUUUCAUCAAAAGAUAACUUUAAAAGGAAAAGUCAAUUUAUAAAAUGAUGUAGGGCUUUUUUUAUAGUUGAAAUUUGUCCCCCACUUUUUUUUUUCUUUUGGGUAUCAAGGAUUGAACCCAGAGGCACUUGGCCACUGAGCCACAUCCCUAGCCCUAUUUUGUAUUUUACUUAGAGACAGGAUCUCACUGAGUCAUUUAGUGCCUCUUUUUUUGCUGAGGCUGACUUUGAGCUUGUGAUCCUCUUUCCUCAGCCUCUGGAGUUGCUGGGAUUAUAGGUGUGUGCCCCUGAGUCUGGCUGAAAUUUGUCCUUUUAAGAUACAUUUUUGCUGUUGUUUCUGGUGAAAGAAAAAUUUCUUUGUAUAAAGGAGAAAAAAAGGCCAUUUUUCCUCAAUUUAUAUUAAAAUAUAUAGUAGUGAAUUUUUAAUUUUUUUCCCUACAUCUAUCCUGUGUACUGUAAACAGUAUACAUUCUUUUAAAUUAUAUCAUGAGAGUUUGGUCAACGUCAAUCAUAGGCCCUUGAAUGCCAAAAUGUUGUGAAUAUACUAGCUUACCAUUCAUAUGCUACAAAUUUGUUUGAUUCCAUCUUUGAUUAACAUGUCUUAUUAACAGUAUAGAAUAAUUUACCUUAUGUUUCCUUACCAACAUUGUCAACAAUUAAGCCUAAUUUUUGAGAAAUUAUACAUUAGUAUUAUUAUUGAAACUCAGUUUCUAAAUAAAAGGGUUUUAAACUUAUAAGAGAGAAAUUAUAUUUAAUUAUAUAGAUUUUUUUUUUUACAUUUUCCAUUCAUAAGAGUCUUAUAAAUUGAUUAAACAUCACAUCAGAAUGUAUCUAGGCAGGAAUUAUAUUGAAAAAAUUCACAUCACAGAAAGAGAUUUCAUAAUUUUGCCAAAUUGCAAAUAUGUAAUGCUCAUUAGUAAUUGCCACUAUAUACUAAAUAAGGAUUGAAAUAUAUUUUUGAGUUACUCCUGAGGAAAUGCUAAUUUCCAAAUCAUUGUGUUUUAAUUACAACAUAGCAGAAACAUUAAAUCUUUCAUUUAACCUCAGAGUUCCAUAUCAUCUGGUUUUACAAGUACUUUAUCUAAAGGCAAGUCUUAUUUGUAGCAUUUUAUUAGAGCAACCUUUGAAAUUAAUUGUCUUAAAAGCUCAAGGAAGAGAUGUGUUAAACAGAAAGGAAGAUGGAGAAGAGAAAAGAAAGCCUCACUUUUCCUUUGCCGAGUCUGCUCUUUGAAUUCUAGACGUCAUUCCUAAAGCUCCUGACCUUUGGCUGAGGACACUGUCUGCUGGUUCCCUUUGUCUGCAGCCACUGGUGCUUGAGAUCACCCCUGGAACCUCUGUGGCUGUGAGGGCAAUUCCUUGUGACCCAUUACCUCCUUUACCUGGAGUCAUGAGUUGUUAUUGUGGCAGUAAUUAGUUUCUACUUAUAUUUAAUGGUUAGAGAUGCAUUUGAAGUGUACUGAAGAUGUUCAUGGUUUUGAAUAUCUUCAGAGAAAGCUAAAUCUUUGAUAUUGCAGGGAGACUGGCAAUACUAAAAUACAUUUCUGCGGCUUAGUUUUUUUGAGGGCGCUGAGACUCCCUCUGUACUAAAUUUGGCAUAAUAAUGGAGUAAACAGCAAGGCUUUAAAUUAAAUUAAUAGUUUCAAGGUAGGUUGACUCUUAGGUAUUAUUUGCUGUGUCUACCAUUAGAUUUUAUAUAGUAUAUAACAAAUCUGAAUUUUGUUAUGCUAUGAACUAUUCAGUGUAUUAUGAGAAAUUAUAGUAUAAAAAAUGUUAAUACUCUUGGGCUUCUUAUCUGCUGGUAUUAGUUUCUGAUUCUUUAUAAUUAUUGUUAGCUUAUUAUCAUUAGCUCAUUAACUUAAAAAUGGAUUAAUAUCAAAUUAAGAAUAGCACCAAUUGUGCAGAGUUUAUAAAGUACAAUUUAAUUUUAGAGCUAGACUAAAGGUAAUUGAGCAGUUAUUUGCAAAGCUUCAUUUUACAUGUGUCAGACUUCUAAAGUUUUCAAAACUAUUUUUUUAUACACUCCUUAGAAAUUCAGAAAUUUCUUAGAAUUUGUUGUAUUACACUGUGUCUAAUUAUUACUGGUCUUCACUGUAGAUUUUAAUGAACUUUGGUGUUUACAUUUCCAAACAGACUUAAUUUAUUAUGUUCAAUUUAAUUUUUUACAAAUGCAUUUUGGUAUAAAAAAUUAGACCUUCACAGUUUCUGAUAAUGUUAGCAUUAUCAGAAAUUUUAAAUAAAUUUUAAAAAUUUAAUUUUACAUGUGUUAAGUGUGGUUACAAUGAACCAAAUUGUGUUUAAGACUAAAUUUACUACCAAUUUUGAAUAAUCAGACAUUCCCAAAUCACUCUAUAUUGUCAAAUUAACUCCUUUGUUUGAUGGCACUUUUGAUCAUGGACAAGAGCUGGAAAAUGAUAUUUUUUUAUAGACUCGAAUGUCUAGAAUGACUUCAGAGCUGCAUGAUAUGGUGAAAAGAGCACUGGACUAGUAGUCACUAUCCUUUUUGGAUUCAGGGCUCCUCAAAAAAUAAAAUGAAUGGGUAAAGUAAGGUGAAAAUAUAAAAACAUCUCUUUGAGUGUGUUUUACUAUUUUUAAUGUUACUUGGACAUUUCUUUAUUUCACCUGAUUUUCACAGUAGGGACUUCUGAAAUCUUAAGAGCUUCAGCAUUGUCUGCUUUUUAAUCCUAGUUUGCGCCUCUUGUUUUACAGAGUGGUCACUUGGUUUGCUAGUUGGUGGCAGAGCUGACAUCAUAACCCACAUCUGACUAAUUACAAGUCAGAGGUGCUUUAUUUGUAUCAUGAAAUUAUUUGAAAUCGCUGUAAAGCAGCAAAAUCUGAUAAUGACUGCCAGCUUUCCUGUUUGAUAACAAAUGCUUCAAAUAAUUCUGGAGAACCUUGAUACAAAGUUUGAAGGAAUAGAUUGGGGUUUGAAGAUAUCAGAUUGCAGGACAGUCCACGUUUUUGUAAUAAAAACAUUAAUGAAGGCAAAACAUUAAUAAAAGUUAAUUUUAAUUCACCGCUUAUGAAUUCCUUGAUGCUUUAAAAUGAAAGGUAACUAAAAGAGGCUUGGUUUCAGUUUAAAUACUGACACAUAUAAAGCUGGUUUUUCUGUUUAUGUAAAUUCAUCCACUUAAAAUGGAAUGUGAGGACAAGGCAGUAUUUGAUUACAUACCAUUUUCUCUGCGUGGUUGUUUUCACUGUCUCAUUUUCUAUGUUUUCCUCAAAUCCCCUGUCCCUAUUUUGUGUGUUAAACAGGGAAAGCUUGCUACAUUAUAAAGAUUGUUGGCACCAUGUUACACAAAGGCUAAAGGUUAAUUUUUGGAAAUGAUGAGCUACUUUUCUACAAGUGUUUACUUGUGCUUUGUGACAUUCUUGGAUCAUUCCAGCCAUAAAAACUUAUUACAUGUAAUAUUUCUUGUUACCUGUGAAAAGGUUUAUUUUAAAGAAUGUAUAACCAACACUCCCAUUUACUGUUUAUUACUAUGUAGAGGAUUUGUAUCUAAUUCAUGAAUGUAGUUUUGCUGUAGUUUGUUAUUGUAAAUGGAGCAAAGUACAUUUUCUUUAUAGUUAUUCUAAAAUGUACAUUAUGUAAGAAUUGUAAAUAUACUUGAUUAAGUACUUUGUAUGCUGAAAAAUUACAAUAAAGUCAAUAAAAAUCUCA